GUGAAAUACUCCAUUUUAUGUUUACUGAAUCCUCCCCUAUUCUUUAAAAUUUCUGUACGACUAUGUUGUAUUCACAGCUUUUGGAAGAACUCAACAAGGGGGGACUGAGAGCUGAUGGUGAUAAUGAAUGUGAUAGAACCUCACUGGGAAAAUCAAUUAGCUUUUUCAGGUCGUCGUUCUUGCGACCUCUACUAAAAUCUUGCAAGGAAGAGAUAGAGAGUUCCCAUAAUGCAAAAAUCCAGAAGUCAAAGAAUUCCAUCAGCUGGUAAUGCUUUCGCCAACAUGUUAUCCUGCUCCUGGUGUAUAGAGAAGGUCCGGUCACAUUCAACUUAUAAUCGUGCUUUAAAAAUUAAGUUAACUACGAAUUUAACCAAUUACGUAGAUGUCUUAUACCUGCUUUCUGAUUUGCUUUAUAAUUAUAUAGAUGCUUGUAACCUGUUUGGCACUUGCUUUGCUCUUGUAAAGUACUGGUUUAACAAAGUUUGGAGAUUAUAUGCUCUCACUAACCACUGCACUACUCUUCCUUACCUUUGCA